rnacentral:rRNA from 1 species
GGCUCAGAUUGAACGCUGGCGGCAGGCCUAACACAUGCAAGUCGAGCGGUAGCACAGAGAGCUUGCUCUCGGGUGACGAGCGGCGGACGGGUGAGUAAUGUCUGGGAAACUGCCUGAUGGAGGGGGAUAACUACUGGAAACGGUAGCUAAUACCGCAUAACGUCGCAAGACCAAAGUGGGGGACCUUCGGGCCUCAUGCCAUCAGAUGUGCCCAGAUGGGAUUAGCUAGUAGGUGAGGUAACGGCUCACCUAGGCGACGAUCCCUAGCUGGUCUGAGAGGAUGACCAGCCACACUGGAACUGAGACACGGUCCAGACUCCUACGGGAGGCAGCAGUGGGGAAUAUUGCACAAUGGGCGCAAGCCUGAUGCAGCCAUGCCGCGUGUGUGAAGAAGGCCUUCGGGUUGUAAAGCACUUUCAGCGGGGAGGAAGGCGUUAAGGUUAAUAACCUUGGCGAUUGACGUUACCCGCAGAAGAAGCACCGGCUAACUCCGUGCCAGCAGCCGCGGUAAUACGGAGGGUGCAAGCGUUAAUCGGAAUUACUGGGCGUAAAGCGCACGCAGGCGGUCUGUCAAGUCGGAUGUGAAAUCCCCGGGCUCAACCUGGGAACUGCAUUCGAAACUGGCAGGCUAGAGUCUUGUAGAGGGGGGUAGAAUUCCAGGUGUAGCGGUGAAAUGCGUAGAGAUCUGGAGGAAUACCGGUGGCGAAGGCGGCCCCCUGGACAAAGACUGACGCUCAGGUGCGAAAGCGUGGGGAGCAAACAGGAUUAGAUACCCUGGUAGUCCACGCCGUAAACGAUGUCGAUUUGGGAGGUUGUGCCCUUGAGGCGUGGCUUCCGGAGCUAACGCGUUAAAUCGACCGCCCGGGAAGGACGGCCGCAAGGUUAAAACUCAAAUGAAUUGACGGGGGCCCGCACAAGCGGUGGAGCAUGUGGUUUAAUUCGAUGCAACGCGAAGAACCUUACCUGGUCUUGACAUCCACAGAACUUUCCAGAGAUGGAUUGGUGCCUUCGGGAACUGUGAGACAGGUGCUGCAUGGCUGUCGUCAGCUCGUGUUGUGAAAUGUUGGGUUAAGUCCCGCAACGAGCGCAACCCUUAUCCUUUGUUGCCAGCGGUCCGGCCGGGAACUCAAAGGAGACUGCCAGUGAUAAACUGGAGGAAGGUGGGGAUGACGUCAAGUCAUCAUGGCCCUUACGACCAGGGCUACACACGUGCUACAAUGGCAUAUACAAAGAGAAGCGACCUCGCGAGAGCAAGCGGACCUCAUAAAGUAUGUCGUAGUCCGGAUUGGAGUCUGCAACUCGACUCCAUGAAGUCGGAAUCGCUAGUAAUCGUAGAUCAGAAUGCUACGGUGAAUACGUUCCCGGGCCUUGUACACACCGCCCGUCACACCAUGGGAGUGGGUUGCAAAAGAAGUAGGUAGCUUAACCUUCGGGAGGGCGCUUACCACUUUGUGAUUCAUGACUGGGGUGAAGUCGUAAGGGGAAA